ACGGGAGGCAGCAGUGGGGAAUAUUGGGCAAUGGGCGAAAGCCUGACCCAGCGACGCCGCGUGAGGGAAGAAGGUCUUCGGAUUGUAAACCUUAGUCAACAGGGAAGAAGAAAGUGACGGUACCUGUGGAGGAAGCCACGGCUAACUACGUGCCAGCAGCCGCGGUAAUACGUAGGUGGCAAGCGUUAUCCGGAUUUACUGGGUGUAAAGGGUGUGUAGGCGGGAUUGCAAGUCAGAUGUGAAAACUAUGGGCUUAACCCAUAGCCUGCAUUUGAAACUGCAGUUCUUGAGAGUCGGAGAGGUAAAUGGAAUUCCCGGUGUAGCGGUGAAAUGCUUAGAGAUCGGGAGGAACACCAGUGGCGAAGGCGAUUUACUGGACGACAACUGACGCUGAGACACGAAAGUGUGGGGAGCAAACAGGAUUAGAUACCCUGGUA
rnacentral:rRNA from 1 species